rnacentral:lncRNA from 1 species
GUCCUGUAUUUAUUGGCUUUUUGUGGUUAAAUAAAUUUUUUUCUAUCAGUUCUUGUGUGAUGCGAAUUUCUUUUGUGCCACACAAAACAUGCCUUGGAGUGUGCAUGCUGUUCAGUGUCUUCUUUCUACUUGGUUGGAUACUGGUUCUUUCAUUUCCAGAUUCUUUUUCGCUGAUUAUGCUGGAUGAGUAAAAGUGGUCAUUAUAUCUUGAGGUGAAGAGAUCCUUAUCAGGAACUCAUAGUAAGAUUUUAAUAUCUUGAUAUGCAAUCAUAUCCUGGCCAUUUUGCUAUGCAGAUUUCGAAUUUGUUAUUUGUUGUGUUCUGUUGUCUUUCGACCAUCUCGGUAUGAUUAUUUUCUAGUUGUGACUGGUUAAUCAUUGAACUGUGGUAACCACUAAUGCAGGCUGAAAGGAUCUGAUGAUGAUAAAGAUAGAGAGGUGUUAUUUUUAUUUCACAUACGCAUACAUUCAUUUCAAGAUUAUCUGCAAAUUUUUUGUUUAAUAAUUGCAGAGUCAGUUUGAGCUUCAAUAGAGGCUUCAGGAGUUCAUAGAGCUUGGAUGAGCUAAGAUCUACCUGCCAGCGCUGCAAAUGCUUGACGGUACCUUGCAACCUGGGAAGCCACUCAUGUGAAAGACUUGCAAUUUGCCAUAGCAACCUUGGUUUUCAAGAGCAGGACUACAUGAGCAACUUUCCAGAUGGUACUCGUCUUUCUGGUUUGCUAGACUCGGCACACGCGGCACAUGAGAAGUGAGUGAAAAUUUGGAGAUACUGAAAUGAGGAACACACAAUCCCGAGAAAGGGCGCAACUAAGUCA